UACGUAGGGGGCUAGCGUUGUCCGGAAUCAUUGGGCGUAAAGCGCGCGUAGGCGGCCCGGUAAGUCCGCUGUAAAAGUCAAAGGCUCAACCUUUGAAUGUCAGUGGAUACUGCCGGGCUAGAGUCCGGAAGAGGCGAGUGGAACUCCUGGUGUAGCGGUGAAAUGCGCAGAUAUCAGGAGGAACACCGGUGGCGAAGGCGGUGAUCUGGGCCGGUACUGACGCUGAGGAGCGAAAGCGUGGGGAGCGAACAGG
rnacentral:rRNA from 1 species